rnacentral:rRNA from 1 species
AACGAACGCUGGCGGCAUGCCUAACACAUGCAAGUCGAACGAGACCUUCGGGUCUAGUGGCGCACGGGGGCGUAACGCGUGGGAACCUGCCCUUAGGUUCGGAAUAACUCCCCGAAAGGGAUGCUAAUACCGGAUAAUGUCUUCGGACCAAAGAUUUAUCGCCUUUGGAUGGGCCCGCGUUGGCUUAGCUAGUUGGUAGUGUAAAAGCCUACCAAGGCGACGAUCCAUAGCUGGUCGGAGAGGAUGAUCAGCCACACUGGGACUGAGACACGGCCCAGAGUCCUACGGGAGGCAGCAGUGGGGAGUAUUGGACACUGGGCGAUAGCCUGGUCCAGCAAUGCCGCGUGAGUGAUGAAGGCCUUAGGGUUGUAAAGCUCUUUUACCCGGGAUGAUAAUGACAGUACCGGGAGAAUAAGCUCCGGCUAACUCCGUG